GCUAAACUGCUGCUACCCUCCUGCUCAAGUCACCCUCUGGUCACAGGCUGUGAUGAGAGCCGAGCAUGAAUCCCUGGAAGGUUCCCUUGCAUCUGAAGCCAGGAUUGCUGUCAUUUUUUUCAGGGACUUCACUGAGGGCCAGGGCUUCAGUGAACUGUGGGACGGUCCUGGGAUUCAAAGACUGAAGUGCAGCCUCCCAACCAUCCCGCUACGCUGCCGCCAAAUGCACGAUUUAAGCCCACACCUGGUCGGCAGCAGCAGUGACAGACAUCAGAUACAUACAUGACUCCUCAUCUCUGCUUGCCCCUGUCACAUCUAUUGGGGGUGGUGUCCCCCAGGACUAAGCACCAAGGGGGCUCAGGAGCCAGGUCUCAUGCUUUUCCGUUUCAUCUGCAAGGCUGGCACUGUGUCCAGCACAUGGUAAGUGCUUAAUAAACACACAUCUUAUGGAUGAA